rnacentral:rRNA from 1 species
UACGUAGGUGACCAGCGUUGUCCGGAUUUACUGGGCGUAAAGAGCGCGCAGGCGGUCGUUCAAGUCGAGUGUGAAAGCCCCCGGCUCAACUGGGCGGGGUCAGCGGAUACGGCGUAGCUGGAGCAAGCUAGGGGGCAAUGGAAUUCCCGGUGUAGUGGUGGAAUGCGUAGAUAUCGGGAGGAACACCAGUGGCGAAGGCGGUUGCCUGGAGCUUUGCUGACGCUGAGGCGCGAAAGCGUGGGGAGCGAGUCCGG